GAUUUAUUUUCCUUAGUAUUGUUAUCAUGAUUAAUUAGUUGGUAUUUAGUUACGUUGAUUUUAAAUAUAUUUAUUACCUUAAUAUAUAUACACACACACACGCAUACAUUUACUGUAUCACAAUAUACAUUAAAAUACGAAUUCGGAGAUAAAAUUUACAUAGUUCUAUCUAUAUUUUUUUAGUUUUAACAUUCAGAUACUUCCUCCAACUAGUACUAGACGGACCUGUUACUACAUUACAAUUGACACCGAUAUUUUAAUACUAGAUAUAAGACGUUAUACCUCCACAUUUGUUAUUUUUCUUUUACUAGACUCUCAACAGUUCGCUUUACAGCUUCUUAGGAGAAUUCCACUAAAAUACAACCCGUAAUUAAGUUAAAGAAGAAUAAAUUUGGUGUUAUAAGGUCGUUUAUUUCUAGUAUUAAUAUGUUUUCUAUAUAUCAAUAUGCACUACAGAAAUUAAAUAAUGAGAUUUAUAACAAUGUUAUAAUCUACCAUCUAACAAUACUCUUCGACAACAGUAUUUGAGAUUGAACACAGAAUGGUGGCUUACUCAUUAUUGGGACAUCACUAUUUUAACUCUUAUAAAGUCGUUAAAACCUUGACAUGGCCAUUUGAAAAUUCUUAACUUCAACUGAUACAAAUAAGCAAAUUAUAAAAAAAUAAAUUAAGUUAAAAACUAAUAUUUUCUGUAUCUACGCGCCAAUACCUGUAAAACAUCAAGCCAAUAUAUAUAGACGAAGAAUACAAGGACAGGUAGACGCAACACGUUAUAACACAGAGUUGCCACGAAUUUUUAGUUUUAUUAACCUAUACUCUUGAGGCUACUAAGACAUCACUACGAAAUGAUAAAUACAUUCUACAGCACUUGAAUGAUACAUUGGUAGGUUAAUGUGUUAGAAGGGAGUACAGCUUGAUAGGGUAACUACACAGCUUGUGAAGACGUCAUAUAUUUUCAGCCCCAACUUGACAGGAUUACACGUUUAUCUAACGAUAGCGCAACUUAGCAAUAUAAGACGUUGCAAAGCUUGUAAAGAUAUCAUUUUUCGGAUGACAACAUAGUUGAUGCUUGAUGAGGGUAUUGUUUGUCACUAUAUCAUACUGUACAUUCUUUGAUAAUGGCCUAGCUUGUCACAAUAUAACAAUAUUUCUUCUUCAGGUUAACAUAUCGAUUACGUCGUGAAGGACUUACUCAUCAGGACAUAGUAUUUUCCCUCUUAUGAAAGACCAGCUUAAUACAUCUUAUUGUUGUCUAAUGGUAGUCCAGUUUGUCACGUUGUGUUCUUUAGGAAUACAACUUGUCAGGGUAACGCAUUGUUGUCUAAUGGUAGUUCAGUUUGUCAUGUUUUGUUCUUUAGAAAUACAGCAUGUGAAGUUAAUGUAUUGUUGGGUUAUGAGGGUUCACAGUUUGUCACGUUCUGUUGAAAACCAAACCUGUUACGAUAUCUUAUUGUUGCUUGAUAGAACGCAGGUCAAAUAAAUUUGGAAGUAAAUAGUUUUUUUUAGUAUGUUAACAUGAAUAACUUAUCUACCUACGCCAUUGGUCCAUUGAAGUAAAACAAUAAAAAUAAAUAACUAGUAACAUUUAUCAUCUGAAACUCAUAAAAUGACAUGCUUAGACUUAAAAUGCUCAAACCGAUUUAUCAUAAGAUCCUUAUUUAAACUGAAAUUGGUACUGUUUCUGAUAAAAUUAAUGAUGACUGAAGACCAACUUGUAAUGGAAUCAUUUUUUAGAGAACUCAAAUAUUUUUAAAAACCGCGUUAUUGACAAGUUUCACAUAGAUUUCAUUGUUAGAUAGCAUGUUUAAUACUUUGCUGUGCAAUGAAUAUACAAAUGAUCGCUAAUUCGUACUUUCGACAGUCAGAAACAAACAUAUUUAUCACGUAUUGCCACUUUUUAAAACUUUGUUUGAGUAAACAAACAAAAAAAAAA